rnacentral:rRNA from 1 species
GACGAACGCUGGCGGCGUGCUUAACACAUGCAAGUCGAACGGAAAGGCCCUGCUUGCAGGGUAUUCUAGUGGCGCACGGGUGUGUAACACGCGGGUGAUCUCCCCUGUACUUUGGGGUAUACCUUGGAAAAACGGUGUAAUACCGGAUAGGAGCCCUCCUGAGUCUGAGGGUUGGAAAGUUUUUUUGGGCUAGGCUGAGCUCGCGGCCUACCAGCUUGUUGGUGGGGUAAUGGCCUACCAAGGCGGCGACGGGUAGCCGGCCUGAGAGGGUGGACGGCCACAUUGGGACUGAGAUACGGCCCAGACUCCUACGGGAGGCAGCAGUGGGGAAUCUUGCGCAAUGGGCGCAAGCCUGAUGCAGCGACGCCGCGUGGGGGAUGACGGCCUUCGGGUUGUAAACUCCUUUCGCUAGGGACGAAGCUUUUUGUGACGGCACCUAGAUAAGAAGCACCGGCUAACUACGUG